GAUGAAGAACGUAGCGAAAUGCGAUAAGUAGUGUGAAUUGCAGAAUUCAGUGAAUCAUCGAAUCUUUGAACGCACAUUGCGCCCCAUGGUAUUCCGUGGGGCAUGCCUGUUCGAGCGUCAUUUACCCCCUCAAGCUCCGCUUGGUGUUGGGCGUCUGUCCCGCUUCGCGCGCGGACUCGCCCCAAAGGUAUUGGCAGCGGUCGUGCCAGCUUCUCGCGCAGCACAUUGCGCUUCUCGAGGCACCGGUGGGCCCGCGUCCAUCAAGCUCACCCCCCCAGUUUGACCUCGGAUCAGGUAGGGAUACCCGCUGAACUUAAGCAUAUCAAAAGCGGAGGA
rnacentral:misc_RNA from 1 species